ensembl:snRNA U1 U1 spliceosomal RNA
AUACUUACCUGGUAGGGAAGAUAUCAUGAUCACAAAGGUGGUUUUCCCAGGGGGAGGCUCAUCCAUUGCAUUGUAGGUGUGCUGGUCCCUGUGAUUUUCCCCAAAUGUGGGAAACUUGACUGUACUAUUUGUGGCAGUGGGGAUCUGCGUUUAUGCUUUCCCCUG